UGGGGAAUUUUGGACAAUGGGGGGAACCCUGAUGCAGCCAUGCCGCGUGAAUGAAGAAGGCCUUCGGGUUGUAAAGUUCUUUCGGUGAUGAGGAAGGCAACUACUUUAAUAGAGUAGUUGAUUGACGUUAGUCACAGAAGAAGCACCGGCUAACUCCGUGCCAGCAGCCGCGGUAAUACGGAGGGUGCGAGCGUUAAUCGGAAUGACUGGGCGUAAAGGGCACGCAGGCGGUGACUUAAGUGAGAUGUGAAAGCCCCGGGCUUAACCUGGGAAUUGCAUUUCAUACUGGGUCGCUAGAGUAUUUUAGGGAGGGGUAGAAUUCCACGUGUAGCGGUGAAAUGCGUAGAGAUGUGGAGGAAUACCGAAGGCGAAGGCAGCCCCUUGGGAACAUACUGACGCU
rnacentral:rRNA from 1 species